CCCUUAGAUGUUCUGGGCCGCACGCGCGCUACACUGAUGCAUUCAAAGAGUUUCUUCCUGGUCCGAGAGGAAUGGGUAACCUUUUGAAAGUGCAUCGUGAUAGGGAUAGACUAUUGCAAUUAUUGGUCUUCAACGAGGAAUUCCUAGUAGACGUAGUUCAUCAGACUGCAUCGAUUACGUCCCUGCCCUUUGUACACACCGCCCGUCGCUCCUACCGAUUGAAUGCUCAGGUGAGCCAUUCGGACUUUCAUCAUGCUGGUUUCCAGUUUUGAUGAAGGAAAGUCUUGCGAACCUUAUCAUUUAGAGGAAGGAGAAGUCGUAACA
rnacentral:rRNA from 1 species